rnacentral:lncRNA from 1 species
CAUGACUGAGAAAGAACCUAUCUGCCAGCCUUCACUAUUAAGUGCCAUCUACUGGAUCACAGUCCAAAUUACAAUGCCAAAAAUAUUUUGCCAGUACACAGUGUCUCUGAAACCCUAGGCAAAAAUCCAGCCACAAAUAAAGAUCCUAUAUAGAGUCUUGCACUCUGAAAGUACCUAGAAAUGAAGCCAACUGACUAUAUUUAUCUUACAUCACAGUUAUUAGAAAUCUAGGGGAAAUGGAUAAAUUCUUGAAAACAUACAACCUUCAAAGAUUGAACAAGAGAGAAAGUGAAAACAUGAACAGAACAAUAACAUACUCCCAUUCAACAUAGUACUGGAAGUCCUAGUCAGAGCAAUCAAGCAAGAUAAAGAAAUAAAAGGCAUCCAAGUAGGAAAAGAAGUCAUCAAACUAUCUCUGUUCACUGACAACAUGAUUCUAUACUUGGAAAACUCUGAAUACUCCAUCAAAAGAGUCCUAGAACUGACAAACAACUUUAAUAAAG